UACGGGGGGGGCAAGCGUUGUUCGGAAUUACUGGGCGUAAAGGGCUCGUAGGCGGCCAACUAAGUCAGACGUGAAACCCCUCGGCUUAACCGGGGAACUGCGUCUGAUACUGGAUGGCUUGAGUUUGGGAGAGGGAUGCGGAAUUCCAGGUGUAGCGGUGAAAUGCGUAGAUAUCUGGAGGAACACCGGUGGCGAAGGCGGCAUCCUGGACCAACACUGACGCUGAGGAGCGAAAGCCAGGGGAGCAAACGGG
rnacentral:rRNA from 1 species